UACAGAGGGUGCAAGCGUUAAUCGGAAUUACUGGGCGUAAAGCGUGCGCAGGCGGUUGCGUAAGUCAGAUGUGAAAGCCCCGGGCUCAACCUGGGAAUUGCAUUUGAGACUGCGGAGCUAGGGUGCGGAAGAGGGAAGCGGAAUUUCCGGUGUAGCGGUGAAAUGCGUAGAUAUCGGAAGGAACACCAGUGGCGAAAGCGGGUUGCUGGGCGAGCGCUGACGUUCAGGCACGAAAGCGUGGGGAGCAAACAGG
rnacentral:rRNA from 1 species